AGGAACAUGGAAAGCAAUAUGCACUUAUUCCAGUUUUUUAGCUAGUGAGACUCCAGUCUGUUGCGUUUCACUCUCUUCAUUUUACAAUCCUGAGAUCACAUCAUGCCCCAAGUGUAGCUGUGGAUGCAGAGAAGUAACAGACAAAAACUUCGGUACAUGUCUAAGGCCAGCUUACCCCUUCACAGCAAUGUCAUCAACAGGGGAUAAUUCAGGAGCUAAUUUUAUGGGUGCUCUAGACCGGGUGAAAUGCACAGAUCAUAUGUGCCCUAUUCGAGUUCAUUGGCAUGUCAAGACCAGCUAUGUAGAUCACUGGAGAAUUAAACUUACAAUUACUAACUACAACUAUCAGAGGAACUUCUCAAACUGGAAUGCACUGGUCCAGCACCCUGGUCUCUCCA